UUCAGUUUAGGAUGAUGGAAAGGCUCUGAAGAUGGCUGCAACAGCACUGUGAAGGUAAUGCCACUGACUCAUACAAUUAAAAAUUGAUAAAAUAAGUUUUAUUAUGCAUAUUUUAUCACAAAACAAAAAUUGGAAAAAACCGAAACACAGAAAAAAACAAGCCCACCCCUCCCCUCAAAAAAAUUUACAGGACAGGCCACCUGGUCUAAAUGUAUGACACAUCCUUUUCUCUCUACAUGCCAGUUGGCAACCUUAUUUUAGAGUGUCCAAACUUUGCUUAAGAAAAGACUUAAAAGAUUCCUCCAAAUACCCAUCCAACCAAAGUUUAUCUGAUUUUCGAUAAGGUACCAUCCCCAAAUAUGAAAUGCUAAGUCUCAUAAUAAAACACCUUUGGCAUUUAAAUGUCCAACAUCUCAACCUUUUGUCUUGUUAAAGGAUUAUAAAAAUGUACAAUACUUUAAAACCAUGAAAUAAACUAGGUAAAACUAAGGAGACACAAGUAAAAUACAAUGUCCUUGCUGAAGACUCUGAAUAAUGGCUUUAAGAAAUACCUGAGUCUGGCAAAAUACUAGAUACUAGAAGUCGGUACCAAGGGCAAUUAAAUCGAUGCUCUUUUUCCCAUCAGCGAGGUAAGCUCUGGAGCCUCCAGAGAGCUGAAUCAGACCCGGUGGCUUUCCUCUUUGCUCAAACAUUUAUUUCUGAAAUGGCGGGCAUGUCACCAAAUGAUAAUACUUAAAGCAAGUUCACAGGUUUUGUUAAAAAAAGAAAACAAUCUAGUACAUCCACAAAUAGGAAACCAAACACACCUGAACACAUCUAUGAUUAAAUAAGAAUAUUUAAUGGCAUGGAAUGAUAUGUACACUGUAGGUUCAAUAUGUUUUCAAAACAUACCUAGCACCUAUGGCUGCCUGUGCCUAGUAAAUAGAAAAGGUAUAACAGAAUAAUUUUUACAAUUUACAAAGUUUAAUACAAUUGAGAAAGGUUUCUAUAAACAUUGUUAAAAUAUUUCAGAGGGCAAAUGCUUACUUUGCAUAGCAAUGCUUCAGUUACCUGGAAUGCCCUCCCUUCUUUCUUCCAAGCAAUUUUAUGCAGCACGAAGCUCAGUGGCUCUACUCCAAGUGCCAACAAGGUGAACAACCCAGUUCCUGCUCUCAUGGAACUCACAUUCUGGUGGAAUUUGUUUUUGCAACAUACUUGCUGACAAUAUCAAAUUAAUAAGCCAUUAGUAUUGAAAAGUAAUUUACACACUCUCCAGUCUGGUCCUUAUUUUGAUAUAUGUCUUCCUAUGAGAUGGAUGCAAACUCACAGCAAAAACUAUGUGUAUACAUACAGCCACAUGCCGCAUGAUGUUCAGUCAAGGAUGGACCACGUAUAUGGCAGUGGUUCCACAAUACUGUAUUUUUGCUACGCCUUUUCUAUGUUUCGAUACACAAAUGUUUACCACUGUGUUACAACUGCCUACAGUAGUCAGUACAGUCACAUGCUGCCCAGGUUUGUAGCCUAGGAGCAACAGGCCAUACCAUAGAGCCCAGGUGCACAGUAGGCUGUACCAUCUAGGUUUGUGUGUCACUCUAUGAUGUUUACACAAUGACAAAAUUGCCUAAUGAUACAUUUCUCAGAAUAUAUCCCCAUCCUUAACUGAUGUGUGACUGUAUUUUACUAACCUGGCCAGGUGGAACCUUCACCAAUAAAAAUUCUACAUGAAAAAUGCUAUUUAUUGUUUCUUUCAGACAUUAGAGAUUCCUUAACUUUAGUUUAAAUAAUCUUAAUAUGCAAACUUUUUAUUUCCCUUGUUCUCCAAAUAUGAUAAACCAAGAUUUUUAAUAUUAACAGGUAUGAGUUCUGCCUACAUACAUUGUCUUUGGAAAAGGCAAUUAUCUGCAACUGUAAUUAAACAUUCUUUUAUUUCCCCCAUUGCUAAAGGAUUCCACUCUUCUGGCUAAAAUAUAAAACUAUACAAUUAUAAAUACUUAUUUGCAAUGCUUCUCUUUGAACAAAUUUGCUUGUUGUAUAAGACACUUGCUGAUCACCUUGUAAGCUACUUAAAACAUGGUAUGACUUGAGUGCCUUGUAUAUUUUAGUUGAAUUAUAGUUUUGCAUUUUAAAAUAUAUCAAUUAUGCUAUAUAACAAAUUAGUUUUAAAUUAUAAUUGUUAUGGGCUUACUAUGUGUCAGUCCCCAGGCCUAUCAGCAUAAUGGAUGAUGAAAUUCAUAAUAGCUCUUGAGGAACAGAGGAAAAUGUACACCCAGAGUUGCCCAGAGAGGUCUGGGAGUGUUCCAAUUGUCACUUCCCAGGUGGACCUAGCCCUGACAGGAUCCUCACAUCCUCUUCCCUUCUUAUGGAGAUACAAAGCUGAGCACCUGCCUACAGACUUUAGGCUUUUAGAGAGCCUCUCAGACUAGGCCAACUGCUCAUAAUCCUGCCAACCCUCUUUGGCCCCUAUGAUGUUGUAAAGGCAAUGUGGCACUCAUAUCAGCAGCACACAUACUAUAACUGGCACAACACAGAGGUCAGCAUGGGCCCCAUGCACAGAUGACACACAAAUUCAUGAAGUGUUCUACAUACAUAUAUGUAUAAUUUUUUUUUUUUGAAACAGGGUCUUGCCCUGUCGCCCAGGCUGGAGUGCAGUGGUGCUAUCAUGGCUCACUGCAGCCUCAACCUCCCAAGCUCAAGUGAUCCUCCUACCUCAGCCUCCCAAGCAGCUGGAACUACAGGUGUGCACCCACCACACCUGGCGAAUUUUUUAUUUUUUGUAGCGAUGAGGUUUUGCCAUGUUGCCCAAGUUGGUCUCAAAUUCCUGGGCUCAAGUGAUCCUCCUGCCUUAGCAUCCCAAAGUGCUGGGAUUACAGGCGUGAGUCACUGUGCCCAGCUGCGUUCCAUAUUUCUACACACCCAUGCAUACAUGGAGGAGUAUACGUUGGGGAAAGUAAAGCUGGGGAAAUGUGAAUAAAAUCAGCGGGCUGUAUUGAUGUCAACAUCCUGAUUGUUAUAUGUGUGAAACAUUACCACUGAGAGAAAUUGGGCAAAAUAUACAACUAUAUGUGAAUCUAUGAUUACAUCGUAUAGGAAUAGAUUCCCCAUAACUAUAUCAACAUACAAUCAUAAAAUACAUACAUCGCCUAUGUAAUAGUAUGAUUACUUCAACAUAAUGUUUAAUUUAAAAAAAGGCAAUGUAGCUAGGCAGGUAUAACGCAUGAGCAUAAUACGGGAAGCCUAUCUCACUGAUACAUACGAUUUCCUUGGUCUCUGCACCUGAGACAAUAAUCUCCUAAGUCUAAAGCUUUAAAAAAGUACUUACUGUUACCUUGUCACUAUACUAAUGUGCAGAACAUAUGAAAUAAGAUAGAAAAUGUCCACAAGGGCCAGUGAUCAAAGGAGCCCAUAGAUCCUGGGUGCACAGUAGGCUGUACCAUCUAGGUUUGUGUGUCACUCAAACAAAAAACAAAACAAAAACACUACACACUAUUCUCUAAAAUCUUCCAUGGGAGCUCAGAGUUCAAGUGAAUAUUUCUUUCUCUUCUGGAAGACUCCUCAUGAAGGUGGUAGUAUAAAUAAUUAUCCACAAAGAAUUGUCAGGCAUUCAUCCCUAAUGAAAACUACUAAGCCAAAAGUAACAAAAAAAUAUUUUAAUGAUAUUUCUGUAGGACAAAAUAAUUAAACUGAGGCAGGCAGAGGAAAGUAAGAGAAUCCACAUAACCA
rnacentral:lncRNA from 10 species